CCUUUCACUUUCAAUCUAUAUGUAUCUUUUGUCCUAAGGUGACUUUCUUGUAAGCGUGCCUACUCUUUAGAGAAGAGAGAAGAUCCCUACAAUUGUAGCAAUGGUCUAGAGCUUCUAGGACUAUGAUGACGGGCAUAACCACGAAUAGGUGUAACCUCAUGUAAUCCUUGUAACUCAUAGGGCAAGUACUAUGAUUAGCCUCAUUUCCAGUUGAAAAACUGAAGCACAGAGAGGCCAUGCAAAUUUCCCAAGGCUACUCAACUUGGAGGUGGUAUAGGCACAAUUCAGCCCCAGGCAGCCUGACUCCAAGACGCCUUGAUCUUAACCCCUGACUCUUGGUUUUUAAACUCCGUUGCACAUUGGAAUCAUUUAAGGAUUUUUUAAAAAAGUCAAAACCACAGGUUACAUCCCAGACUGACUGGAUUACAGACUCUGGGGUGGGAUUUUAUUGAGAGUAUUUUUAUUUAUUUAUUUUUAUCUUUUUUGCCUUUUCUAGGGCCACUCCCACAGCAUAUGGAGGUUCCCAGGCUAGGGGUCUAAUCAGAGCUGUAGCCGCUGGACUACGCUAGAGCCAUGGCAACGUGGGAUCUGAGUCGUGUCUGCAACCUACACCACAGCUCACGGCAACGCCGGAUCCUCAACCCACUGAACAAGGCCAGGGAUUGAACCCCUGCAACCUCAUCGUUCCUAGUUGGAUUCGUUAACCACUGAGCCACGACGGGAACUCAAUUUGAAAUAUGGCCUGCCAACACCUUAAUUCAGACUUCUAGCCUCCAAAACUGUGAGACAAUACAUUUCUGUUGUUUUAAGCCUCCUACUUUGUGGGUCAGCCCCAGCAAUCUAAUACAGCUCCUCUGUGAUUUCAAUGUGCAGACACAUUUGAGAACCUCUGCUGUACAUUCAUUCUCUCUUUCUUUAAGAAUCUGCUGUGGAAAUGUGGGGAAAGAAACCCCUAUGAGAUAACCCAGUCUUGAUUGGGGCUGGUGUAAGUUUGCCAUCCUGUGCUAUCCCUGGUUGUGCCACCUUCUAAAGCAUGGGGCAGUGUCCAUCAGGUACAUAAGAUGUAGAGGGUCAUUCUCAGUGCUCUUGUUCGUGGAAGAAGCAGUAGUGGUGGGUGUGCUCCCGGGCGUAAAGCAAGAGGGUCCCCAGGCAAGAGCAUGGAGGAUGCAAAGGAGCAGAAUGAGUGCUUCCCCUAAAGCCUAUGAAACCAUCACAGGUGGAGAAAGAGUGAUCAAUGUGGCUACUGCAAUCCAGAGACACCUCCCCAGGUGAUGUAGAGCCCUCUGAGGGUGCCCAGGAGUCUUGGAAGAAGACCAUGUUCUCUGGAAUGUCCCUCAGAGAUGGUAGUGUUUAAACCUGAGAAAUGGGUUUUGACAGGUGGCUGUGGGUAAAGGCUGUUCCAGGCACAGGGCACACCUUAAAGGUGGGGAGGGAGGAACAGGCAGAAUGGCGGGGGCUGGUGAGUUGUGGGUGGACUUCAUGCUUAGGGCAAGCUGGAGAAGAGAGCUUGGGUAAAAGGACAGAAGUCCAGGAAGAUAGGUUACGGCAGUUUUCUGGAGGGAUUUGAAUACUGCACUAAGUCCCCCAGGCUUCAUCUUGUAAGCAGUGUGGAGCCAACAGAGGCUUUUGAUCAGGGAAGAAACACCAUCGUUAACUUAAAUGAUCCCGGAUGUAACAUUUCAGAGGGUUCUUCCUUGGUAACCAAAGCUGAGGUGUCUCAUUUAAUUUUCCCGGUGACCUUGUAAGCGAGGAAUUAUUAUCCUGGUUUAAUAGAUUUAGAAAUUGAAACUAAUAGAAUUUGAGUUACUGCCCAAGUCACAUAGCUGGUCAAUGUAGGAACCUGGAUUUGAACCCCAGCUAUCUGAUUCCAUCGUCUGUGGGCUUAACUGAUCUAUAACUCAGGAUUCCCAGCCUUGAUGUUGAAGAAAACUAGCCUCAUUGGUGGGAUGAGGCAGGUGGACAGUGGAGGGCAGGUGGGGAGAGAAGGAGGACAGAAAGGCCAGUUGGGAAGUGUCUACAGAAUCCUGUGCAAUAUCUCAAAGGAAGACCGAAAAUGAUGAAGUAACUGGUUGGGUUUUGGGGGAGGUAUCACCCCACUUCAGGAUAAUUGAGUGGUGGGCAGAAAGGCGCUGCCUUUACUGAGCUAAAAGAAGUAGGAAGAAGAGUGGGUCAGACAAUAGAAGAGAUUUGAUUUCUUUCCUUUUUUUUUUUUUUUUCUUUCUAGGGCCUCACCCGUGGCAUAUGGACGUUCCCAGGCUAGGGGUCGAAUCGGAGCUACAGCUGCCGGCCUACCCCACAGCCACAGCAAUGAGGGAUCCGAGCCGGUCUGCGACCUACACCACAGCUCAUAGCAACGCAGGAUCCUUUACCCACUGAGCAAGGCCAGGGAUCAAAUCUGCAUCCUCAUGGGUACUAGUCGGGUUUGUUACCUCUGAGCCACAACGGCAACUCCAGAGAUGAGAUUUCUUUAGACAUUUUAAACUGAAGUACUGAUCUAUGUCAGAGAUAGGAUGUCCGUGGAAACAUGAUUUAGAGGUGGUUACCCUGCAGGAGACAGAUCAGUGCACCUCAUCCUCAGAGCUUGGAGACCGAGCACUGCCGAGAAUGUGUAAGUGUGGCGCUUAAGCCCAUGGGCUCUGGGGCUCAACAGUCUGAAAUCAACCCUUUAUUAGCUGUGUGUUCUUGGACUAGCCUCAGUUUCUUCAUCUGCAAAAGGAGGACAAUAAAGGACCUAUUUCACGGUCCUUUUCAGAUAAGAUAGGUGGAGCUCUUGGCAGCAAGCCAAAAGCUUAAGAAACAGGCAUGGCAGUACAGUUGCCUUUGCUCCUUGUCACCCAGAAAACCUGCCUGUGACAGCAUCUCCCUCUUCAUCUCCUUUCCCCUCCUGAGAAUUUUCUCUGUCCACAUCAGACCUUUGUUCUACUUGUUCAACCUUCAACUUGGCAGCUGCCUUUUUCUUAAAGAUCAAUCUCUCCCCUAGUCCAGGAAUGUUUCGCAGUUUUCCUUUUUUUCUUUCUCCUGGACACAGUGUAGAUGUGAUUCUCUGGUGUAGCCACCUUACUUCACAGCGCUCUGUGCCUCAAACCAAGGAGGAGACCAGCCAGCCCACCCUGCUCAGUCCCACCGGUUUUCUUUGACAGUACAGCUGGUCUAUGGGCUGUGUGGUUAUCUCUGAGCAUCUUCAGGCACUGAUUCGGGGAUUUUCUUUUAUGCUGUGUGCACAGUGCCUGGUACAUGACAGGGGCUCAAUGGGUAAAUCCCAGGAGAGCAGCUCUUCUUAGGCAGGGGUGAGCUGAAUCAAACAACAAUAACAAAAGCCUAAGAUUGGGUUCCUGGUUCUCUUCCUGGAAAGAGGUGUCUGUAAGAAAGGAGAGAAGUGUGAAGGAAAGUGACUCAUUGCUACCAUUUCAACUUCCUGGUGCUCAGAAAGGGAACUGUAUGUUUGGAGAAAAUAAAGGAUAUGUUGUGUGGGUGAAGGUCAUCUGUUGCUGGUGAUUUGGGGGAGACUGAAGCUAGAAACCAGUUUGAAAGAAUGAUUUUUGUGGAUCAGUACAGUAGCCUCAAAACUGAUGUCCUUCCGUGGUUGCUUCCUUCCCAUCCAUCCUAAAUACUGCCUUGAUUUCUCUUCCUUAAAACAAACAAACAAAAAUACUCAGAGUCCCUGCUGUGGCACAGUGGGUUAAGAAUCUGACUGUAGCAGCUCAGGUCAGUGUGGAGAUGUAGGUUCAAUCUCAAGCCUGGUGUAGUGGGUUAAAGGAUCCAGUGCUGCCAUUGCUGUGGCUGGGAUUUAAUCCCUAGCCUGGGAACUUCCAUAUGCCAUGGGUAAGGCCAUAAAAACCACCCCAACACCCCACUUUUACCAAGUCACCCUCCAGCUGGAAAUAUUUUGAUGACUUCUCUUUUCCUUAAGAAGUGAGAGUCUCAAAGCUUUACGGGAACAUCAAAUCCUCUCCACUCGGCCUAAUCCUAACCUCUCCAACCUGCCAUUUCUCACACCUCUUCCUUCUCAGUGAGCCAGAGCUGUGUUGCUGCCCCUCAUCUCCACCUCUUUUGUCCUUUGGCUUCACACAGCUGUCCUCCAGAGUCAGAGUCCAUUUGCUGAGCAAUCCAUGAUCCUUAAUUCUCCACGUGGCCCCCCUGGAACAGCACUACCUGCCUGCCCUCCCAGUCCCUUACUUUUCAAGGACCCACAGCUUACCUGCCUCUACCUGCAUACUCAAGUUAAAACUUAGAUUAUUUACAGGAGAUCAAUAAGCAAGUUGGUUAAACUCAUGUAAUUGAAAGGACAGUGUAUUCUGCAACAUUAAACUUGUAAAGUUCCCAGAGCCAGGACUGAAGCCUUUGAGUUUUAUCUUUAAAUAGCAUCUCGCUCAAAACAAAAUAGCCUCCUGGAGAACUCCAGCCUUCUCAGAGCCUUACCUGGCAAGGUAAAUGCUUUAGAGAGGAGAAGGUGUCACAAAUGUCCAAAUGACCCUAAAGUAUGAGUAGGCUUCCUUAACCAUUUGGCCUGCUAACGGGGAGGGGCUUAGGAGCAUCUGGUCCAAUAAUUAUCUGUGGUCUAACUGACUGCCUAUCUGAGUUACUCUAUCCACCACCCAAUGGGAAUUUACCAGCUUUCCCUGAUCCUGAUUGAGUUGACUCAUAUAAACUAUAGUGAAUUUCUUAGGCUCAAUGCUCCAUGGAAUUAAUCAAACUUUGGGUUUGUCUUCCGUAAUCAGUUCGAUAGUUGCUUUCUGCUCAAGGAUGGCUCCUUGCCUUCAUUAAAUCUGAAGGUUUCAGCUUUUGUUAGUGCACAGCACCUCAAUCAAUACAAGCAAGUGCAGCUGUCUCCUAAAUGAGGAUGUCAGGCCAAGGCCCUGAUAACCAAUGGCUACUAAAUACUUAAUGAUCCUUGUGGUGUGUCGCAGCGUCUUCAUCACAUUUCAGUCUAGGGCCUUGAACUUACUUUGAAAAAUAGUCUUUUCUAAAACUUACUCCAUUACUUUCCAUCCUUUAUUUUCCUUAUUUCAUGUGUUAUAGCACAUCAGCAGGGUGCUUCAGAAAACACAAAGUGGGAUCCAGAGGUUGGCAGAGCUGAGAACCAUCAGCUCCCUUUGGCAUUUUCUGUCCCAAGGUUGCAUUUCCUUAGUGUGGUGGUUAUUAGUGCUGUUUACCAAAUUUUCUAGUUUUUCCCCAUUCCAGGUUCAUGUGACGGUGAUAUUUCCUGAGUCACUUGAGGUUGAUGAGGGUCAUGUGACUAGUUCUGGCCAAUGAGUUGAAAGCAAAAGUAGGAGUUCCUGUUGUGGCGCAGUGGUUAACAAAUCUGACUAGGAACCAUGAGGUUGCGGGUUCGAUUCCUGCCCUUGCUUAGUCGGUAAAGGAUCCGGCGUUGCUGUGAGCUGUAGUGUGGGUCGCAGACGCGGCUCGGAUCCCAAGUUGCUGUGGCUCUGGUGUAGGCCGGCAGCUACAGCUUCGAUUCGACCCCUAGUCUGGGAACCUCCAUAUGCCAUGGGAGCGGC
rnacentral:lncRNA from 1 species